rnacentral:rRNA from 1 species
AUUGAACGCUGGCGGCAUGCCUUACACAUGCAAGUCGAACGGCAGCAUGGAGAGCUUGCUCUCUGAUGGCGAGUGGCGAACGGGUGAGUAAUGCAUCGGAACGUACCGUGUAAUGGGGGAUAACGUAGCGAAAGUUACGCUAAUACCGCAUACGACCUGAGGGUGAAAGCAGGGGAUCGCAAGACCUUGCGUUAUACGAGCGGCCGAUGUCAGAUUAGGUAGUUGGUGGGGUAAAGGCUCACCAAGGCGACGAUCUGUAGCGGGUCUGAGAGGAUGAUCCGCCACACUGGGACUGAGACACGGCCCAGACUCCUACGGGAGGCAGCAGUGGGGAAUUUUGGACAAUGGGGGCAACCCUGAUCCAGCCAUGCCGCGUGAGUGAAGAAGGCCUUCGGGUUGUAAAGCUCUUUCGGCCGGGAAGAAAUCGCACAGGCUAAUACUCUGUGUGGAUGACGGUACCGGCACAAGAAGCACCGGCUAACUACGUGCCAGCCGCCGCCGUAA